AUAUAUAUACGGACAAAAGUAUUGGGACACCUUCUAAUUCUUGAAUUUAUGUGUUUCAGCCACAACAGUUGCUAACAAGAGAAAUAAAUAUGCUUCCGACUUUGCAGCAACAGUUUAGGGAAGGUCCUUUUUUCUGCUCCAGUGUCCUGCACAGUUCCUGACCUCAGCCCCACUCAACAGCUCUGGGAUGAACUGGAACACCGACUUAUUGAUCAGCACCCAGCCGUACAAAUGCAGCUCUUUUGAUGCCCUCUGAUCGGGCACAAAUUCCUACAGACGUACUUCAAAGUCUUGUGAGAAGCUUCUCAGAAGAGCGGCUGUUCUUCUAGCUGAUCUUAGUGCAGCGUUUGAUACGGUCGAUCAUAACAUUUUACUGGAGAGGCUAGAAAAUACAGGCAUUCUGAUGGAAACCUGUUUACCCGCCGAGGUUAAGGAUUAAAGUCGAGACUGCCGGGACAACGAUGCUGCUCCUGUCAGAUGUGACGGGUCUGGAGUAAUUGCAUUAAGAAUGACAAGAAAUCACUACAGACUUUAUUGAAGACUAGAGCGAAGAACAACUCUAUUAUUAUUUAUCUAUUUAUCUAUUUAUUGCCAGUUAUAACUUUUAGAUUAUUUAAUUCUGUGUUUGUAUGCUCUGUGUAAAUCGUGUAUUUAUUUAAAGUUUCCUCCUGGCCACCCAAGAAGGAUGGGCCCUGCUGAGUCUGGUUCCUCUCAAGGUUUCUUCCUGUAAUUUUCAGGGAGUUUUUCCUUGCCACAGUCGCCCUCGGCUUGCUCAACAGGGUUUUUUUGUAUCUGUUGGUCCUGGAUUUUGUAAAGUUGCUUUGAGACAAUGUAUAUUGUAAAAAGCGCUAUAUAAAUAAAGUUGACUUGACUU